rnacentral:lncRNA from 1 species
GCAAUAUAAAGUAAUAAUAUAAUCUUUGAGGGAUAAAGGUGAAAAAAAUAAUAAUAAUCGGAUGCGUAAAUAAAUAAAUAUAAAAAAAAAUUACGCGGAGCGUAGGGGGUGACUUUAACGCCGCCGUAGCGUUAUCGUGUUGACUCCUCCUCGAUUCUUAUUAUUGUAUGUGAGAAAGUGUGUCGGUAGUCCUUGUAUUAUCUAAAUUUUGCAAUUUAACUUUUCUGAAUUUUCUCUUUUUUUUUUUUUUUAGUAUUUUAGCUUUUUAAGAGCUUUUCUGAUAUGGUGCAGUUGUAAAUAUAGUGUAAAAAGAUAUGAAUUAAUUUUACCAAUAGUGGUGUUUUUUGGUUGCUUAUAAUUAGAAACUAUGAGUUAUUAUUAUUUUAUAUAUGUUGAAAGAAAAAUUACUUUAAAAGACUUUAUUUAUUUUAGACUUGUAUGUUAUUAUAAUUGUGUUAUAUACAGUUUGAAAUACAAUAUAUCAAAUAGUCUCUGUAGUGACGUAUAAAGCACUUCAGUUUCUGACAAAAAAAAAAAAUCUAAUAUUUCUUUGAAAAUAAUUAUUUAACUUGCUUUUUAGAAUUUUUUAUGUAAAAAUUAUUUCAAAUAUAAUUAAAAAUAAUUAUUUUAGUAAGAAUAAUGUUUUAGCUUUUCUUUUUAACAGGCAAAAACUUUUGUUUACACACAACCUGCAAGAAAAUUCAGGACCAAGAUGUAAAAAAAGUAGGUACUCAAUUGUAAUACUGGUAUACUACAGGGACGACCGGCACAUCUUACGCAUCAAAAGGACGGUGAUUUAUGAUCAUGCGUGGAUAGAGACAUGACGUCAUCUCCUCCUAUCCUGUAUCCCAAGUGGACUUCUUUUUUAAUCGGACGGCUAACGCUUCUCGUAACCACAGGCUCCAUGAUCCGUCCGUUGGUUCGAGAUCGGACGGUGGAUAUUCGCCGUAUUUCCUUUUGCUAUUGUCUAUUCAAUAUGCUGUGGAGGUGUUUGGUUUUCCGGGAAUUAGCUCAAAAAUUAAUUUUUUUUGUUAGAAAAAUUAUUUUUUUCUCUGUUUGGCUUUUAUUAAAAAAGUUUAAAAUAUUUUUUAAAAUUAUUCAAAAUUUAUAGAAAAUUAUUAUCUUUAUUUUCUAAACUAUUUAUCCAAAAACUAAAAAUUCUAAAAAAGAAUAAUUUUCAUGAAAAAAACUAUUUUAGAAAAAAUAAUUUCUCACACUUUUUCUACCAACUAAACACGCUCUAAUAAGUCCAUAAUUCCAAAAAAAAUUAGGUAUUAUCGUCUAAUUUUUUUAUUGAGACUCUCCAACUUUUUAUUUUUUUUUUAAAUUGAGUAAUUUAAUUUUAAAAAAUUAGGGUGUUUACCAAAUUCGUUAGUGAUCUUGCCAAAAUUAGUGACUUUAACUUAACCUCGAGAAAGGAAAAUGACAGUUGGGGAGCGAUUUUUAGAAUUACUUAUAAUUGAGGGGUCUCCUUAUAUUUUUACCAAUUAUUUACUCUAUUUAUUUAGUUGGAAUUAAAAAAAAAAAAAAUAGAUACCCGAAAAUCACGUGUCCGAACGACUCUCCCGCCUCCCCCGCGAGGGGUGUUUUUGGCAGUUUUUGGCGCGCGCGGGAACGGCGAAAAAUCGCCGCGUAAAUCGCCGAUUCGCCGAGGAAUUACGGAUCGGCGAGUUGUUGGGGGUAGUUUGGGUAUUUCACUUACUAGGCAGUGAACAUGACUCACGAGUGUAUAUAACAAGAAAAUUGUGACUUGUCGGGGAGAAGGGGUAGUUUGGGUAUUUCACUUACAAGGCGGUGAACAUGAUUCACGAGUAGACUUAGCAAACGGGCUGGUAGGAUAACCCGCAGACGGAUUAUUAUACCCACGGAUUACUUGGACAUGGUUAAAAUUUACCCGUAAAUUUUUAGUCAACAUCUUUAUCCAUACCAGCCCGCGGGUGGGCGGGUGGGUAUGUGGGUUACCCGUAUUUUUUUUUCUCUUAUAUUUUUUAUAUACAAAAUAUAUAUAUAAAAGUUUUAAAAACGUAACAUAAUUCAUUAUUUAAAAUAUUAUAACAUACAAUAAAACUAUUUUUAAAAUCUUAAAGCUAAAAUAUUUCAUAAUAUAAAAGACACGCGAUAAAAAAUUAAAGUUAGGAUUUUUAGAAUAGAUAAAUAAAAAUAUAUACAUUUUUUAAUUAAAAAAAUAUAUUAUAUAAUUAAAAAAUAUAUGUGCUGGUACCCGUGGAUUACUCAAAAUGUCCACAGCUUAAUAGGUACCCAUCCAUUUUAUCCGUAAUUUUUUUGGUUGAAAAAGUUGGUACCCAUACCCACAAAUUUGGGGAUAACCCGCGGGUAUGGGUCAAGAUUACUGGGCCUACUCACGAGUAUUUAUAAAUUGGCACUUAGAGAAUUUAUUCGAUACUAAAUACAUAUAAUUUCGAAUAUGAAUAUUAAAAAUAAAAAUUUGACGGAUAUGGAUUCGAAUAUGAAUUUUGAGUGUACCUGAUCCGGACCCGAUUUGGAUAUAUUAAAACUUGAUGUUAUAUUUGAAUUUAUAUUUUAAAAAUUUAGAUUUAAUAUAAUAAAUUUUGAAAUAUUGAAAAAAAGAAAUAAUUAUUUCUACUUCAGAUUUUUUAGUUCGGGUUUCGAAUUUUUGGUAAAAUUUGAAUUUAGAUAUGAAUUUUUAAAAUUCGUCGGGUUCAGAUUCGAAUUUUAAUUUUGGGUUUGGAAUCGGAUUUUAGUUCGAAUUUUUAAAAAUUCGACCCAGUGACAUCCCUAAUAUAAGAGAAUGUGUGGGGUGAGGGGUAGUUUGGGUAUUUCACUUACGCGGUAGUGAACAUGACUCACGAGUAUGGGAGAAUGCGUGAUAUGUUUUGCACGCGGCGUAUACUUAAAACCGAUUCAACAACGGUCAAAAAGUCAAAAUACAGUACAAAAAACGUCAAAAUGUAUGGUGACCCCCUCAAUUAUAUCAAAUUUGAAACAAAGGGCUUGAACUUAAAAAAAAAAAUGGAAACAAAGUAUAAAGUUACUGAAAAGUUUAAUCAAAUUUCAUUGCCCUUUUAGCUAUUAAUUGUCAAUUGCUAAAUUUUGAUUAAAGUUGUUAGAUUUGAUGAAACCACCAAUAAGUUUGAAAGAACUUUUAAUAUUUUUUAAUAAAAUUAAUUAAUUUUUUAAAAAAAAUAGAGGUUGAGGAUAUCUCAAUAAAACAAAAAAACAAAGAACUAAAACUUUUUUUUUUUUGUGUAUCACCUUUGUUAAAUUAUGAUGUUCAAAAAUAAGUCAUAAAACAUUUAUUCUUGUCGUACUUUAAAUUUCUUUUGGGUAAAAAUGUACAGAAUUUACCUAAAUUAAUUAUAAGUCGUUUUAAAUCGACAAUUGAACCUGUCAAAAUUUUUAUUUUUUUAUCCAAUACAUUAAUUUAUUUGAUUUAAGUCAACCAACGAUACUUUGAUUUUAGAAUUUAAGUUAAUUCUUUAUUUUAAUAAUAUCAUAGUUGCGAGAAUUAUAUACAGUAUAAUGACUGAACAAAUGAAGAUAAACGGUACAUUCAAACCUUUAAUGUGUAUGGUAUCAAAUACCCGAAUCUAUACUUGAAACUUUAAUGGGUAAACUCUUUUUUUACCAGUAUAUUACUCAUUUUUAAUUGGGUCUGGAUCGAGUCUAGAUCGUAUAUUGGAUACCUGGUAUUUUGGACAUCUUCAUGCACCAGACAAUUAAUUUUAAGAAGAAAAAACAAACUAUUUGAAAGAUCAGAUAGUAAUAUUAAGAUUUUUAGAUUUUUAAUAAUUUUUUUCUAUAAUUCAAGAUUUAGGUCAAUUCUAUACAAUUUCACACCACUGGUGAAUAAUAGUUUUUUUGUGGACAUAGCAAACAAAAGAGCUUUUAGUACAUUUUCUUUAUUUUUAAAGUUCAUGUCCUUUUAUGCUUUUUGUUGGUUGAGCUUGUUCCAAAUUUCUAAUACCAACAAAUUUGUGUCUCAAAUUUGUCCUUUGUGUCACCUCAAAAAUUAGGUUUAACCAACAAGUCAAAAGUCAAAACCUAUAGUCACAUAAAUUGAUUAAAAUUGGCAAUUAUUUGCUAUGUUUUUUAUCAAGUAAUUUUAAAUUCAACACAAUUGAUCAAUUCAAAUUUCAAAAGUACAUACAAAUUCAAACAUUUGACUUGAAAACAGCUUUAUUUUGUUGGUAAGAAGCACCUUUUAAUUGUACAUAUUUCUUCUAUAUGUAAAAUCAUGGAAAAUGCAUAUGAACUUUUAAUUCUAAAUUAAUAAUUACACAGCCAUUUUAAUUGAUUGUAUUUUACAAGUAAUCUUAUAAAGCUUUAAAAUAUAUAAAAAUUUAUUUCUUCUAUUAUAUUCUUCAGUCAUGGUGCUUAAAAAACUAAAAUAUUUUUUUUUGUGUUUUGAAGUUACAUAAAAUUAUGUGAGGUUGUAUAAUUAGUAACUUUAAUUAAUAACAGAGACCUACUGUUCAACUAUUUGAUAAAAUUUAAAAAUUGAAGUACCUAUUUGUGAAAGUGCUAAGUUCAUAGGGUAUUUGUGCUUUUUUUCCCUAAUAUAUAAAUUACAGAUUAAUACAUCAAUGCAAAAUGAGGAGGUCAUAUUCUUAGGCUAAUCUAUUUGAAUUGAUGCUAAAAGCAUGGAUAUAAUUUUCCAAUUUAAUUGCAUCCUAAAAUUUAGUUUCAAAUUGGGAUUUUGAAUUGAAAAAGUUAUUUUAUUUCGAUCAUACUGUAAAAUAUUUUUUUUUUGCAGGGAUGUGAAAUUAAUUAUAAUUGGAACUAAUUGGUGUGUAUUAACUUGUUCAUGAAACAUUUAACAUUUAACUGUCUAUAAAAAUUAGAGCUUUCCUCAAAAGAGAAAGUUUUAAAUGUAAAUAGUUAUUUUUAUGAGGACAUAAGUAAGAAACCAAAUAAUCACGGUAAAUUAUCGCACGAAUUAAUUAAUAUAAUUUUUUUCCUUUUUAUUAUUUUUUAGUCACUAAUAUGGUAAGUAAGAUAUUUUAUGAUUUAUCUAUUAUUUAUGUAAUACAUAAUGAGCGUGCAAAUGUAUGAAGACACCUUCAACUAUAGAACAUUUUGAAAUUUGUCCCUCAUUUUUAUACUUUAUGAACAUCUCUUUACCUUUAAUUUUUUAUUAAUUAAAUCAUAUUAGUAGUUUUAUUUGUUACUAAUAAAUAAUUGUUUAAGUUUUAUUUUCUAAAAAAAUGUUUAAAAUAAAUCGAUAGAAUUUGAUGAAAUAUAUAAUUUAUUUAACUAACAAAAUUAGUUAAUUCUAAAAGAGUAAAAAAAAAAAAGAGAAAAAAGUGAGGUUUCACUUGGGGAGGGGGCCACAUCAAAAUACCCUAUAGUAGAGGGGUUUUCUCCGAACAAUUUUCCUAAAAGCACCGCGCUUCUCGGAUGAGAUUUGGACGGUCGUGAUCACUCGCCGUGUCACGAAGCGUACCUAACACUCUAGCACCGUCCAAGCGGAUAAGCGGAGUGGCAUUCCCGUUAUUUACUGGAAAAAUGAGUCCUGAUAAUAAGAGAGCACGGACACGGCGUAUUUUUGCGCGUUGUGAAAAAUCGGCGCGAGGAGGCUCAAAAGCUACGGCGAUCUAAUCGCGGAAAACCACGGGGCCGCGACAGCGGGCCGAGGAGGCGGCGACGCUGCGGUCCGAAAACCGCGGCGCCGUCGCCGCGUGGAUUUCCCGAUUCUGCGCCCCGCGGUUUCCGGAUGCUGCGAGAUCCGACCCGCUAAUCCUGCAACAGUAGGGAUGUCCCUGCGUAGGCAUAUCCAUACCCGAAAUUUUAUCUAAAUUCGAACCCGAACGUGAAUGAAGUGGAUUUAGCCGAUGCUAAACAAAAUGGUCUCGGAUAUGGGUAUUAAAAAUAAAAAUUAAACAGAUAUGAAUUCGGAUAUGAAUUUUAACUGUACCGAACCUAAAUUUAUUUUAUAUUAUAUAUAAUAUGUAUAUAAAAAUUUGAUAUUAUAUUUGAAUCUGUAUUUUAAAAUUUUAGAUUUAAUGUAAUAUAGUUUGAAAUAUUGAAAAAAGAUAUAAUUGUUUCAGGUUCGAGUUCGGGUUCAGGUUCAAGUUCGGAUUCGAGUUUUUAAAAAUUCGCCGUGAAUCCAAGCCGUUGACAUCCCUAAGCAACCGUGAGUAUAAGGAGGCAAACGGUGCGGAUCAUGAUUCUUGAGGCAUUUACGGGUUAAAAAUUCGAAUUGUCAAUCCACGCCGCCAAAUUUGAUCUACGUUAUUUGGACAUAUUAAACUUUAAAUUUCGUAAUUUUAUGAUAUCAUUUGCAGUGUGCUGGGUCGUCUAAAAAUUAAAUAAUUUUUAACGGCUAAUAUAAAGUGAACUUGAGAUUACGAGGCAAAUAGUAUCGUAACAUCGUAAAAUUUGAAAUAUAAGAAUGUUUAAAUAGGUUAGAUUAAGUUUAGCAGUAUGGAUUGUCUACUCGGACUUUCAUCGCCGGAACGACCUAGAAGCACUCCCCUUAAUGCUUUCAGAAAUACAUGUAUACGUAAUCCAAACUUGUGUGCUUUCGGGAGCACAUGAAUAGCGCACGCUUUUCCAAAAUUUAAUUUUUGAAUCUAUAAUGGUGUCGCCACAAAAUACUAAAUCCUAAACAGUGAAAAAGUUGGGAGCGGAGUUUAUUUUUCUAAAAAAAUGAAUGAAAUGGAUAGCUCAUUAUCUUUCUCUUUUUCCAAAAAAAAAAAUGUGGAGACCUCCCGAACUUUUUUUAUUUUUUUUUGCAAAUAUGGGCCUGUAGGUUUAAUUUUAGUAAAGAGACACGUUAAACUUUGUCAAAUAGUUCAACAGGCCCCUCUCGUGGAUAUAAUUCUAUCCGACCUAAGAAUGUAAAGAAAUCUAUUUUUUUCUUUCACUUUUGAUAAGUAAGCAUGAUAAACGAAGAAUAAGUUGAACCAAACUUCAACUUUUUUAGUUUUCUUAUGUGUUAAAAUACAAAAAAUUAUCUAUCGAAUUAUUUGAUCAAUUAACUUUACGAUAUCUCUUUGUCAAAAUUAAAAGAUCAAGCACCUAUUUAAAAAUGAACUAAAGUUUAGAAGGGCUCCAUACAUUUUAACCAAAAAAAAAAAAAAAAAGCACCCUAAAUAAACAAGCAAUGCUACCUACACACUCUUAGAUUAAAGAGUAAAACUUACAACUCGCUCAUCCAAAAGCCGUUUUUUUCCUACUAGUUUUUCUCCUACUAGUCUUAUCAAACCAUUCUUUUUUUUUUUUACUGAAAAUUAUUUGGGCUUUUGUGAACUUAAGAUUAUGUGUUGUAAGAUUUAUACCUAUAUAUAAAUGUACAUGUAGCAUUUUCCUAAUCAUAAUUAUCAUUUUCUUUAUAGCAUAUAUUUUAAAUAAAUUUUUGCAAAAAAAAUGUAUAAAGAUUUUAUGAACUUUAGCUCUUUUAAUUGCAAAUGGGCGUUUGAACAUUUAAUUUUAACAAUUAGAUCUCCUAAACUUUAUUAAAUAUUUUAAUAGAUCCCUUUCUGUAAUCAAAGUUUCUAAGUAUACAACCAUUUUGAUCUAAUGACAUACACAUGGUUUUAUAAGAUUAUAGAAUAUGAAGAACUAUAAUAUUUUUUCUCUUACAAUUUUAAUAAUUAAGUAUGAGAAUUGAAGAAUAAAGUGAACUUACAUUUUAUUUUUAUUUUUCUAUAUUUAGAAUAGAAAAAAUAUAUUGCUUCGUGAUUAAAUCUUUAUAAGAUUAUAUGCAAAAUAUUCGACUAAAAAUAAUUAGCGUAGCUGACUAAGAACUUGAUGAGUUAUGCACGAGGAUCCAAGUUCGGAGUCUAACUACUUUGCACUUCUAACCCAGUUCCUUUUUUGAGAAAGAAUUGGACUAAUUUGAUAAAGUUUAUAUAUUAGGGAAGAGUCUAAUUACUAAAACUAAUAGCUUAGGAACCAAAUUGCAAAAAUUAUAUAGUUCAAGGGGUCUCUAUUCAUAUUUCCCUACUUUAUUUCUGUUAAAUUAUUUUCGUACUUUUGGUAAAGGUGUAGCUUGGAAGUACCAUGAAGAAGAGAUAGAAAUAAUAAUAAAAAACUAUUAUGAAACAGAAAAAAAUUAAAAAAAUAAAUUACUAUAAUUUUGGUAAAAAAAAUUUAAAAAUUAAGGGUAAUAAUUUGUUCACUCUCUUAUCUACUAAUGUGGAACAUUUUAGCAUAAUAAAUUUUAAAAAUUAGAAUAACUAUGGUUUCCAAGUUAUUGACUUUUUUAUUAAGAACUUAUUUUGGCAUAAAAUUUAAGCAAACGAAAAUAAAUAAAAUAUAUAUUUUUUAUAUUUUUUUAUUGUAUAUAUAUAUAUAUAUAUUUUGUAAUUUUUUUAUAAACCGUGAUUACAAAAAAGAAAAAAGAAAAAAUUGAAACUCAGUCAAAUUUAAAAUUUUUCCACAGGAAAAUCGAUGUCGUUACGGCAGAGAAUAAUUAAGGGAAAAGGAAAAAUACACGUGGAGAAAAGAAUUUGGACACGUGGAUUGCUCGGGAAUCGUGAAGGGAGACGCUUCCACCUGGUGCCACGUGUAAUGUUCGAUAGUGGGGCGGGCUUGGCCCCACACUCGGAGGUGCCAUCCGAAUCCGAUGUCUCCUGUUCUUAUCCGAAGGGAAUAAUAACCACCACCACCCUCCACUUUCCUUAAUUACAGCAAAAGGAAACUUUAGUACCUAAAAUAGUUUAAAGUAUAUUACUUUUCUACCUUAUUGGGUUUUUUUUUUUUUUUGUUAUCCCUUUCACUAAUUAUUUUUCUAAAAUGAGUAACAAAGUUUAAAUUAAAAGAUACUAAAAUAAAUAUUCAAUAAACUAUAGAUGGGGUAUCUGAAGUUUUUUGUAUAUGAAUUAACGAAAAAUUAAUGAAGUGGCUGACGAAAAGAAAAAAAAAAAAAUCUCGGGAUACUAAAUUGAUACACUUUAAAAUGCAGGAUACUGAAGUGAAAAACUGCGAAGCCAUAAGGGAUGGUAUUUGAAGUUUACGUAAAAAAAUAUAUAUUACGUAUACUCUAAAACAAAUAAAUAAAAAAUUUAAAAUAAAAUCCUUUUUAUACAUCGAAAAUUACAUCAAUUAUUAUUCUGUACUUUAUUACUAUUUAUUAAAAAUAAUAAAUUAGGUUGUAAAAUUCUACUAGAAUAAAUUCACCUGCCACAGUGUUCUACAUCUCAGCAUAUAUCUAAUAUUCAACUCAAAAAAAAUAUUAAAAAAAUUAAAUAAAGUAUAUCUCCUAUUUUGCAGAUAUUAUUAAAGUUAAUAGUUUAUUUAGCAAUUUUUUCAAUUUAUAUGAUUCUAAUAUAUUACUUAUAGAUAACUUUAUCUGUAACUUAUUUUCACAAAGUUUUAUAGCUGAUCCCGACAAUCGUACCAAAUAGUUGGAUGUAUUUAAGAUAAUGACAAAAUGUAGAUGGUAAUUGCUAUGAUUUAUUUUGCAGAGCUAUAACUAAGACGAGCGCUAAAGUGCAGUGAAACUUUUUAUAAUUUAGCCAAAAAAAAAGUAAAAUUUAAUAUGCCCCUAUGUGAUAUAGCUUAUUCCUGCGUUACCAUACUAUGAUUAAAAAAAAAAUGUAUUUAAAUAUCCUAUGGUUUAGCUAUUUAUUUUUCACUUUGCUAUGUGGUGGUUCAAAAAUUACACUUAACUACUCUAUGAUUAUAAAAAAAAUUCACUUUAUUACCCUGUUUGAUAGUAGAUUUUUUUGAUAAAAUAAAGAUAAAAUCGUAGAAUAGUUAAGUACAAAAGAGCUGAGUGAUUAAAAAUAUUUUACUUGAGUAUAAAUUUUUUAAACCACAUAAUUGUAAAGUGAAAAUAAGCUAAAUCAGUGGGUGAGCUUUGAAAAAUGAUCCACUGUGGAACUGGAAAGCUACGUAUAUUAAGAUUCAUACAAUUUUUGUUAUCUUUGUUAUCUAAUCUAAUAUACUAUCUAUAUUUCUUUUCCUACCAAUAAUUUUUAAACUACUUAAUAUUUAAAUAAUGCAUUUUAAUCGACAAUUUAUUUUUUUUCGUUUUUAUUCUCAGCCGUCGGAUUAAGAACAUUUGAUGAUGAAGCUUUGAGAUUUGUAACACGUUGAAUUAGUAAGGAGUUUGAACAAUGCCAACUACUUCGAUAAUUAACAUUAUUGUACUAAUUGUUAUAGUACAUGCAUGUGUAGAGAGUAGUAGGAAGGUUCCCUGAGCUACUCCAUAUAUAUAUAUAGAGAAAAAUAAUUAUAACAAUAUUAUAUAUAAAUAUAUAUGUAUAUAUAUUCGAGUUGAUCCAACUAAUUAAAUUAUCCAUCAGAAUUUAAAUCAUUCAUCACCAUUAAAAUAAAGAGAAAACUUCAAAUAUCACUCCUAUGGUUUCACACUUUCUCACUUUAGUACCGUAUAAUUUAAAGUGUAUUAAUUUAGUGUCCCAUGAUUUCAUUUUUAUUAUUUUAUUAUCGAUUUCACUAAUUAUUUUUUAUUAAAUCAGUGACAAAGUUAAAACUAAUUAAAGAAUGCUAAAGUGAUUAUUCGAUAAACCUAGAUAGAGUAUCUGAAGUUUUUUGUAUAUAAUUUAACGAAAUGUUAACGGAGAAAUUGACGAAAAAAUAAAAAUAAAGACACAUGACACUAACUUGAUACUCUUUAAAUCACAAGAUACUAAAGUAAGAAAGGACGAAACCACAAGGGUGGUAUAUGAAGUUUACCUAAAAUAAAUAAGUAAAUAAAUAUAGCGCAUCAGCUUGUUGCUAUUAUUUUUUUAAAAUAAUUAAUGUAUCUUUUCAAAUCUCUAGAUAGUAUAAUACAAUCAAACCCUACCGUACAAAGAGUUAUUAAAAAUUUACAUUUUUCAAUAAGGUUUGUGGUUACCAUAUGUCUCCACUACGUUUCGUGUUUUUGCGAACGAAAAAAUCUAAAAUAUGAUGAUUCUGUAAUUUAUUUUUUAUUUUCAGUAAUGCAUGACUUAGCCCCAAUAAUGAAAAACUUGUUCAAUCCAAAUUUCUGGCUCAAAAUGCUUAAAUCUAAAUUCCUUAUGAAUUUACUUCAGUGCCUUAUCAUUUGAAUACCAUUGAUUUCGAGUUUUUUUUUUUCUUUUUUUUUUGUGAGAUAGGUAGCACGCUACCCGCUUCGUUUAUUUUAUUUAGAAAUAAACUUAGCUGGAAGGAUUUCGAGUUUUCAACUUAGAAAGACAACGUUAAUACUAUCAUUUGUAGAUAAGAAGCAAGGAGUAACUUUCAUGGGCCGGGCCGGGGCGGGCAAUGAUUAGAAAUGGGCCCUUUGAGGCCCAAUAACUAGACCUCAAUCGCAAGUCCAACUCGGUCUAAAGAACAUAUCAUUCCUGUAGCAUCAUCUACGUCUACUUACACUCCAUUUGAUAUCCAGACCACUACUGAACGGAAAAAAAGGUUAGAAUGAAUGUAUAGAAAUCGCAGAGAUUAUAACUUAAUUAACAGAUUGUGAUAUGAGCGAUGCGAUGUUACAAAUGAAAAACAAUGAAAUUAUGUUUGGAUUAGAGUAAGCUUAAACGUAAGAAGUGAAGUUGCGGUGUAAGUGAUCACUUUCAAUAUUUGUUUCGAUAUAAAUGUCUAAAACUACCGUAAGUGAAGCUACAUUGUUUUGCUGAUCACUUUUCCGACUCUUGACUUUGCCUCAGGUAGGAGCAAAGGUGACUUCCUUCACUCCGUACUUUUCAUAAAGCGAAAAGUAAAAUAUUAUCUAUCUUAAAUUAGCUGUCUAUAACUUAUCCAAAUAUUUUAAAAAAUAGUAAAAAUGAAUGAUUUAUAGUUUUCAAAUAUACCCCGAUUAAAGAUACCCUAAUUCACCCUUUUAUUUACAAAAUUAUGUAGCACAUCACAGGAGUUGAGCUUGAGUGUCUUUAGAAGAGGCUUCUAUGCUUUCGAGUUCUUUUUGAUGAUGAGAUUUCUAAACUGACGAUCGACUUCAUUGGAUUUGAUGUAGAAUAUUUAAACUAUUUAGAUAUCAAAUUUCAUAAUUUUUCGAUAUUAUUUACUUAGUGACCGAAAGAACCCAAAAAAAAGAGCUGAAAAUAAAAUUAUCACAAAAAGUAAUGUUAUAACUAAAGUUUUAGAUCAAAGCUGUUGAUCUUGCUUUAGAUAGUGUAAGUUUCUUUUUAUCAAUAUUAAACUAUUAAAUUUGCAAAUGAUUUACAUCAUUCAUUAAAAUUACUAAUUUCAAGCCCUUUCAAUCACAAGAUAAACAGUAUUAAAAAAAUUUAAAAAUUUAUUUUUUAAAAUAUUUCAAGUAGGGGCGUUUGGAUUGACGUAUUUGUAGAUUCAACGUAAGUCAAGUGUAGUAGUGUUUGAGUUUCCCUGAAGUGUGAUUAUUUUUUUGUUGUUUGUUUUGACGUAACUCGUACCGCCUGAAAGUUAAAUUCAAUCACUUCUAUUGUUUGUUUUGAUGUAACUUAGUGCUGGUAAAAUUAGUUUUUUGAGUUCCGUUGUUUGUUUUGAUGUAAGUAAGUGGAUCUCAUUAUCUCCUAAAUAUAGUAGUAAAUUUACCACUAUAAAAUUUAAUCUAUUAUAUAAUUAAUUUUUUUAUUAUUAUUUAAAGAUAAUUCUAAUUUAUUAUAAAUAAGGUAAUUCUAACCCAUUAUAAAGGAAGUAGAGUUUAGGUUUUACUGUUUAAUAAAUUUUUUAGAGGAGGUUGAGUGUAGUGAAAGUCGAGUUCGGCACUUUAGAGGAGGAAGUCGAGAGUAGAUGAAGUGGAGCUCUAACGUAACUUGAGUUAUAUUAUAUUUUUCAUUUACAUCAAAACAAAUAACGGAAGUGAUGGAACUUGAGUUCCAUCACUCCACUUACACCAAAACAAACGGGCCCGUGGAACCUAACAAUUGAAAAUAAUUCGAAAGUACGAAAGUUUUCAUACUUCUGAAAGCACUCCAGCUGGAUGUGGGUGGAACUCCACAUCUUAGAAUAAUAAUGUGUUGUUGCAACGAUUGUGGUUGCCAUUACAUAUAUAUUACAAAAGGAGAGUAAGCUAUAAUCUUACUUGAGCAGAUGAAAUACACAGAGAAUGAGCAUCUUGGAGAUGCAGCAACAACAAAAGCUAUAAAUAUACAACAGGGCUCGACUCCACUUAUAUUGCUCUUUACCUAAAAAUUUGUACACGUGUGGCGUUUUGAUUAGUUGAGUGCACGAAUUGCGUAAUGGGGUUUGUAGCGGAUCCGCUGAUGGAGACAUUGCACCAGCGUCGAGUGUGAUUUGAAGAGGAGAGUGCCAAUCAUACAGCUAUCAUCACAUGAUCGAUCUCUUAUACGCGAUGCUUGUUUGGGCAUUAUACUAUGAACCCGGUGCAUCAUUACGACUCGUGCACCGAAAUAAAUACUUCAUAGUGAAUGUGGUAAAAAAAAUAGAUGCUGCCUAGAUAAGGAUUAGGGCCGUCAACGAGUUUGAACAUGAGCAGGUCAGUUUCCGAACACAAGCUGUUUUCGAACAGCAAGUUAAAUUGUGAGUUCUACUAUUGAGUGAAAUGCUGAAAGAAAAUUAAAAAAUUAGAAUCUAUAUCUAAUAAUUUAAAACUCAUAAAAUAUAGAUUUUUUUUACAUUUGGGCGGACCUAAAAUUUAAAUAAUAAAAAUUUCUAACAUAUAUGUAAAAAUUUCUAACACAUAUAUAUAUAUACGCCAUGGCUACUAUACUAUUAUGAGUAUUGGAGCUCUCAUACUCAUAAGUUGUUUUCAAUGAUGGAGCUUUCGAAUCAACGAUCCACUCCGUUAAAUAUGAUCUAGAGUAUUUGAAACUUCUAGAAAAUAUUUGAAACUUCUAGAAAAUAAAUUUCGUAAAUUUUCGAAAUCAUAAUAAAGUCCAUCAAGUGAGCAUAAAAUGAACAGUCAAAAUCGAACGACGUCCUAAAAAAGGAUGAUCGGAUCCUUCAAUUCAAGAUCGGAGUUAUUGAUAUUUAUCUAUGUAGUGAAUAGAAUUUUCUAUCAAAAAUUUAAUAAAUUUCGAUUCUUUUACACUGUAAAACUAGCAAGUAUCCCAUACCGGCCGUUAAAAAUUGUCAAAUUUGUGACCUCUUGAUCGUAAGGUAAAUGAUGUCGAAAAAUUAUAAAAUUUGAUUUCUAUAAGUUUUAAAUGCUAUAAAUAACGUUUAACGGUGUGGAUCGUCAAUUCGGAAGCUCUAUCAUUGAAAAUAACUUAUGAGUACGAGGGCGAUCGUACUCAUAAUAGUAUAGUAGCCGGACCCAUAUAUAUAAAUAAUAUAUAUAUAUAAUUGAGUUAGAAUACUCUCAAAAGCACCAACCCUUUGGUACUUUUGAGUUUCUAGCCCUUGGAUCUACUUCUUGAUUACUAAUAACCUUUGGAUCAAACACUAUUCCACUUAUUACCAUCUACCAUCAUCAUCUCAACCCUACAUCUUUUCAUCCAAUGGCUAAAAACUCAAAAACACCAAUCCCUUAGUGCUCAAAAGUAUUCUAGCUCAACACACUCUCUCUCUCUCUCUCUCUCUCUCUCUCUCUCUAUAUAUAUAUAGAGAGAGAGAGAGAGAGAGAGAGACCCUAUGCUUUUAAAAGUAUCAAGUUAUUGAUGCUUGUGAAUUUUUAGCCUUUUGCUGAAGAUUUAGAGGGUUUAGGAUGAUAGCAGCACCCUAUGGUUGAGUGGGUAGUUGGUGGAAUAGUAUAAUCUAAGAGAUGAAAUUGGUCAAUAAAAUAGGUCAAACGGUGAAAACUUACUAACACCAAGUGCUUGGUGUUUUUAAAAGCAUCAUAGCUGGACUAUAUAUAUGCGUGUAUGUGUGUGUAUUCAAGCUAUAUCGAGCCGAACACGAGGGAGCUAACCAUAUUGUUCGGCUUAUUAAAAUUUCAACAUGAUCAAAUUCAACUUAUAUUCAACUCGUUUAUUAAAUGGCUGAUUGAUCUCGAGUUCAUUACGAGCCGAAAACGUGCUGACUCGAAAUAAGCUCAAGAUUGAUUGUUUGUUUAAUAAACGAGCAGAGCAUAAGAAUUUUUCAGCUCGAAAUCAUAAUAAGCCGAAUACGAGUUGAGAUCAGCUCGCUCGUUUUCGAGCUAUAUCGAACCAAACACGAUCGAGAUGGCCGCAACUCAUGUUCAGCUUGAAAAUUUCGAACUAAAAAAUUCAGCUUGUAUUCGGUUUGUUUAUUAAAUGAGCAAUUGAUCUCGAACUCAUUCCGAGAUGAACACGAGUUGGCUCGCGAACAACAAGCUUGAUAGCUAGCCCGCCCUAAUAAGGAUUGGAUAAAAGGAGUAGGAAAAUUUUGUUUUAUUUAAUGUAUUUGAUAGGGUUUUUGAGUUCUGGUGUACGGUGCACCAGGUGCAUGACAUAAUUUUCCCCUAAGAAGUUGCACCGACGCCACCGUUUGAUGCCACUAUCGCAUUGAUGUUGUUUAUUAAAAUGUGUCGAUACCAUUGCAUAUAACUAAACAAAUGCCCAUGACAUUCAACAAAUCCACGAUUUUGCCACUCUAUGUUUCUAAUUUUAUUUGGAUCGUAUCUCACUCACAUGUGGUGCAUUUUUUCAUUACUUACGCGCUGAUAAGACAUAUUUUAAUUCGAAAAUUUAUUCUUCAAUAUUUUAUAUGGAUCAAUCAUGAUUAUUUAUACAUUUUUCUAUACAUUUAUGUAUUAUAUAUAUAUAUAUAUAUAUAUAUAUAUAUAUAUAUAUAUAUAUAUAUAUAUAUAUAUAUAUAUAUAUAUAUAUAUAUAUAUAUAAAACUCAAAUUAUACAGUGCAUGUAUACUUGACCAGGUGCAAUUGAUGUAUAUUCUGUACUAAUUAAUAUUAGAAAAAUCUCUAUCCAUUUAAUAAGUAAUUUUUGGGGAGAGAAUUUUUGGGGAGAGUGUCUUGAGGAUGUUAGAAGUGUGGAAGGAGUUGAAUAUGAAGUCAAAAUCAAGAAUCUAACUUUUCAAUUUGACAUGCACAUACUUACAAAAAUCAUUGAAAAAAGUAGGUGCUAAGGACAAAAAUGUAGCUACAUAUUUUCCCCCCCAUAAAGGCAAUUAUUAGACAAGAGAGAAUUCAUGAUAGUCGCCUCUCAUGUAGAAAAAGAUGUGUCACGAUUCUAGGCUUCUAGCUCCACAUUGAAAAUGCUAGAAUAUUAAGAAAAUACUUCAAAUAUCAUUCAUAUGGUUUCGCUCUCUUUCACUUUGAUACUCUAUGGUUUAAAGUGUAUUAAUUGAGUAUCUUGUGGUUUCGCAUUUUCUCACUUUAAUACCCCGUAGUUUAAAGUGCAUCAAUUUAGUACCCUGUGGUUUCAUUUUUCUCUUUUCGUCGGCUGCUCUGUUAAUAUUUCGUUAAAUUAUAUACAAAAAAUUUCAGAUACCCUACCUAGUUUUAUCGAAUAUUUACUCUAGUACCUUUUAGUUUUAACUUUGUCAUUGAUUUUUUUUCCUCCGUUAAUAUUUCGUUAAAUUAUAUACAAAAAAAACUUCAUAUACCCUAUCUAAGUUUAUCGAAUAUUCAUUUUAAUACUCUUUAAUUUUAACUUUAUCACUGAUUUAACGAAAAGAAUUAGUGAAAUGAAUAAUAAAAAGAGAAAAAUAAAACCACAGGGUGCUAAAGUGAGAAAGUGCAAAAUUAUAGGGACUAACUUGAUACACUUUAAAUCACAGGAUACUAAAAUAAAAAAGUGUAAAACCACAAGAACUGUAUUUGAAGUUUACCCAAAUAUUAAUGACCGUCCCAGUAGUACUAUUUCAUGAGUACACAAAAAAUUCCCUUUUUAAUAGAAGAAUUUUAUAGAUCAUACUUAAGUCCUUCUCCAAAUUAUUUUUUUUAAAAAAAAGGCCAACUUUUUGAAUUUAUCAGAAUCCUAUAAGGAGCUUAAUUCCCAUCGUAAUUUUCGCUCAUUUGCACUAUUAUUCUGAUAAUAUUAUAAAAACAAAUGAAAUGGAUGAUUAUAUCAUAUUCUUGAAAUUUGCGGUGGAGCUGCACAAAGUGCGAACUCCAGUAAUUCUCNAGGAGUAAAAAGAUAUCCGAGAAUUUUAUUUCCAUUCAUCCUAUUACUAAGAAUGUAGUAUUUCGAUGUUUGAUUCGUACGGUCAUAUUAUUUAGUCAUAUUAUUUAAGAUUACGAAAAAUAUACAAUUUAUUUAUUUAUUUAAUCUUAAAUAAUACUAUAAAAAAUUUCAACAUCUUUUUAGAAAAAAGAGAGAAUAUAUAAGUUAGAAAGAGAAAGCAUAAUUAAAGAAAUAGAAAGAGAAAUAGAGUACAGGGUAGAAAGAAUGAGAGGGUUGAGAUUUUAGAAAAAGAGUGGAAAAAAUAGCUUAAUUUAGAGAAAGAAAAAAAGUUGAAGUUUUUUUAAAAAAAGAUAAGUUUAGAGAGAGAUAUGAGGUUAGAGUGUAAAGAAAAAUAAUACCAACUAGCCGAUGGGUGGAAAGAAAAAAAGAGAUUAGACAUAUUAUAAUUACUCCAAUCCAUUAAUAUAAGGAUACCCACCCUCCCUCAAAAGAAUAAGAUUAGUACUUUGGAAUGCAUCUCAUUCCCUAGUAAAUCUAGUAUUACCAACUAGAUUACUUAGUCGUUUAGCCAAACACCGGCAUAUUUUUUUAUUCCUAUUGGAUUACUAGGAAUCUUAAAAAGAUAGCGCGAACCAAACGCACCCUAAAAGUAAAAGACUAAUGCUAUGUAUCAACUAGUUAUCUUAAACAACAGGCAUGAUACACUUUAAGAUUUUCUGACGUUUAUUUAAUGUUCGAUAUUUUUUUCACUUUCUAUUAUCAUAUAUUAUGAUUCUCAGUCUCAUUUACUCUUAGAUAAUACAAAUAAUCUAAGGCUAAAUUAUACAUUCAUUUUUUUAUUUUUUUUUCCGACUUUAAAAAAUCUAUAUUUUAUCCUUUUAAAAUUUUAAAAAUAUUUUAAGAUGGUACAAUCUUAAUGGAGAGAGCAAAAUAAUCAAAUUGACGUUACUUUUCUAUAAAAUAAAAAUAAUUUUUUAAUAUAUUUUUAUUAUUUUAAAGAAUAUUUUAGAAAAAACGAUAAGAAAUGGACGGAACAAUAAUAAAAUCCUAACGGAACAGUUUAAAUAUAAUAAUUUAAAAUAUUGACAGGGUAAAAUGUAGAUUUUGAAAGUCACGAGUAAGAGUGAAAGUAUUUACUUUUCUCCAAUUUUGGUUGCUUUAGUUAACCCAAUGGCAUUUUUGUAAAAUAGAGCAACUCCAAGCCCUCUUCUGCCACCCUUCACAAAAUCUCCCCCACUCCGCACUUUUCCCUUUACUCUUUUUUUUUCUUUCUUUUUCCUACAACUCAACACCCAUAAAUUAAAACCAAAAGAAAACAAACUCCAAAAUCCCUUCACCACAGAUCCCAAGAAGAGAAAGAAAAGAAAAGAAAAGAAUGGAGCAGAGAAGCACCUGCAGGAGAGCUAAGCUUCCAUUCUCAGAAAACAGCUUCAGCUUCNCAGUAUGGCAUUUAAGUGUUCCCUAUAUAUUUCUAUUCUUUUCUACAAGGAUUUCCUAUUUAUGGAGAUUAUAAUAUGAUUACGUGCCGUAUAAAUGAGAAACUUUUCUUUUCCUCAUAAAAUCCUAUUUAUGGAGAUUAUAAUAUGAUUACGUGCCGUAUAAAUGAGAAACUUUUCGUUUCCUCAUUGGAAGAUUUCAACUUAGAUGAUGUAUUGUUACAUUUAUUUUGCCACAUUCUUGACAAGGUCUAUCCUAAUACAAUCUCUUGAUGAGAGGAUAUCUUUUAAGGUGCGUUUGGUUCGCACUAUGAAAGAUUACUAGGAGUAAAAAGAUAUCUAAGAAUCUUAUUCAUAUUGAUCCUAUUACUAAGAAUAGUAUUUCGGUGUUUGGUCGUACGGUCAUAUUAUUUAGUCAUAUUAUUUAAGAUUACGAAAAAUAUACAAUCAAUUAAUUAAUUAAUUUAAUUAAUUUUAAAUAAUACUAUAAAAAANNNNNNNNNNNNNNNNNNNNNNNNNNNNNNNNNNNNNNNNNNNNNNNNNNNNNNNNNNNNNNNNNCUCCGCACUUUUCCCUUUACUCUUUUUUUUUCUUUUUUUUUUUUUUUUUUUUUUUUCUCCUACAACUCAACACCCAUAAAUUAAAACCAAAAGAAAACAAACUCCAAAAUCCCUUCACCACAGAUCCCAAGAAGAGAAAGAAAAGAAAAGAAAAGAAUGGAGCAGAGAAGCACCUGCAGGAGAACUAAGCUUCCAUUCUCAGAAAACAGCUUCAGCUUCUGCUUCUGCUUCUGCUUCUGCCUCACAAUCAUUCUCUCUCCUCAGUGCACCCAUGCAUACAAAAACUACACAGUGGGGGACUCAUUGGGGUGGUAUGAUAACUUGAUGGAGCCCAAAGUGGAUUACCAGAAAUGGGCUUCUGGAAAGAUCUUCAGCCUUGGAGAUUUCCUCAGUAUGUUUCUAAAACCCCCUCAAAUUUAGGGCACAAAAAAAAACAAAAAAAGUCAUGAUUCAUAGCUAAAUAUGGUUGGUGUUUGUUGUUUCUUAAUCAGGAGUAUGGUUUAUUUAUAGUUACUUAAUUCGUGAAUUAUUUGCGAAUUAUUUAAAAUCUGAAUAAAAUAGUCCGUAUGCGAUUUAUUUUCAAAAAUCGGAAUAAAACGCGAAUUUUUGGGGUUAGAUUUAUUAUUCGUGAAUAAUUCACGUAUGCCAAUCUAUUCGGCCAAAAAAACACCCAAAAUUUUUAUAUAAAAUCUCUUGCCGAAUUAUUUAUGAAUUAUGGAAAAAUUUUAUGAACAUUCGGAAUAUAUGGAUCAUGAAAAAGGUGAAUAUAGAGAUAACAAUAUAAUUUGUUAUUAUUUUUUUUACUUAAUCUACUUUAUUUUGUAGAUUUCUAUUCUUAUAUUCUUAAGAAUUUAUAACUAUAUAUGCUAGUAGCAUAAAUCUAGAGAAAAGGGCUUAGUCUAAUAAUGAAUUUUGAUCCCAAAUUUUUCAUUUGGUGAACGUAUAUUUUUUUGUAUAAAUUGCGUACCCGAAUAAUUGGUGAAUCCAUUUUUUAAGCAGUAUUUUUCAACAAAUUUAAAAAUUGAGAUACGAAUUUUAUUCGAAUCUUUGGCGAAUUCGAAUUAACUAACUAUGGUUUAUUACAUUAGGAUUGCUAUUUUGAUGGUAGUAUAGGAGGUUCACUUUUGCAUCCUUUGUUAGGUUCAUUUUAGGAAAUUAUUCUAUUCUUCAUGAUCAUGUAGAAUUUUGAACUUUUUAGAACAAAAAAUAGUUGGAGUUGGGCAAAUAUUUUUCUCUGUUUAUUUGGAAAAACUUAUUUGUUGGGAAUUUUCUUUCUCAGUGCUUUUCUCACUUGUUUAUGAAUACUAUUUCCCUAAUAAAAUGUCAUUUAUUACCAACCUAAAAAGGAUCACUUGGAGUAAAAGAAAAGUAUAUACCUCUUUUAAAUAUAUAUACAUAUAAAGUAUAGUGGGACUAAAAUUUUUUAACCGGGUUAUCAUAUUUUGGACAAUAACAAGACCUAAAAAAUUAAGAGAGUUGAGCAAGCUUAUGGGUACUAGAGUAGUUUUAUGCGUGGUUCCAGCGGAAGCCGAGCAUCGCAUGAUCAUAUUAUCUAAAUAGCAGUUUUAUUAAAUAAGAUAUUCAUGCAUUCAAACAGAGUCUUUAACGUAGUACUUUCACAGUCUUCAACACGGACAAGAACCACUCGGUGGUGCAGACGUACAACGCGACGACGUACAAGCUCUGCGACUACAACGACGCGUCGGACGGCGACACGGUGGAGUGGUCGGCCGGCGAGCCGGAGUUCAGCAAGGCCGCGGUCACGGUGGCGGUCCCCCUCCUCAAGGAAGGCCCCACGUACUUCUUUUCGGGGGACUACGACGGCGAGCAGUGCGAGAACGGCCAGCAGCUCGCGAUCAACGUCACGCACGGCCAGGGCCUGCCAGACAGCCUCAAGAACCCGUCCGACCAGUCGUCACCGGCCCCCGCCAGUCCUGACGACGAGAAAAGCGUUCCCGACACGGUGGUUCCGUCGAACUUCGACCAUCCGACGACAACGACGAACGACACCGCCGUCGAGCCGACGUCGGAUGCAGGGACCGUAGCCCGGAAGUUCUGUAGACUGAGUUUGGGUUCAGCUGUGCUUGUUUCUGUUCUGUGCUUUAGCAUUUGAGUGUGACUCAAUUCUCUGUUUCUGCUGUGUUCGUGUGUUGCUUUUAUGAUUUAUUUAUUUAUUUAUUUGUCAGAAUAGUUGUAUUCUGCAUAUACUGUCACUAUGGAGCAAUAGCAAUAAGUUUAUUGUUUUGUCUCAGCAAAAUCUGCUUCUUUUUCAGCAUCAGAAUAAAUAUUUGCUCUGUCAACAGCACAUUGGUUCAUUUUCAGUUUGUAACUAAAAUUGGAGAGAUUAUAUGAUUUUUGUGUUUUAAGAAAAGAACAAUUAUAGGACAUACUUAACAAGCGUGAUCGAUCGAUUGAGAUCGACGGAUCUCCUAAUCUACCAAUUGACCGACUUUCAGUAGUAAAUUGAACCGAACCGUCGUAUCAACACGACCAACUUACGGCAAUUCAUCGCAUCUGGAGUCGCUGUCGAGGUGUGGUUUACUCUUAUAUGCUUUCAGAAGUGAAGAGCGAACUAGCAGGUGGUUUGAAAUGUGAGAAGUUCGGAGGCGACUAAAUUGAUUCGAACCAGAGUGGCGAAAUCUACGAACACUUGUUGAGAGGAUAUAAACAUGACUCCAUAAUAAAAUAUAUCAUCAGAGAAAAAGAUGAACAUGGACAUAGAAGCAUACAAGAAAAACAGAAGGCCUUUUUAUCAGGCACUAAAAUUUGUAGCAAUCAAUUCACUCGAAGAAGUUCAGCUGAUAAACUAAAGCUGACUAUAUGUCAGUACAGUAAUGUGUCGAAGAUUCGGGGAUCAUAAAAGGGAAAAGAAUAACAAAACAGAAGUAGAAUACAAGUUCAUUUUACAAGAUAUACCAAAUUUCAGAGAUCUGCAGCUUCUGAAUGUAGUAGAAACCAUGAGACUGCAACUUUGUUUUAUAUAUAUAUGUUUUUUUCCUUUCAUUUUCUGCUUCCAGUUCAGAAAAACAUCUAGGCCAAACUUGUUCUAAUUAUCUCUGUUCUCCAGUUAGAAAAUGUACCACUAAACUGAACAUUGAAGAAGCAAUUCAAAAACGUACAAAAUUUAUCCGAACUAUGGGCCAUUUCGAAUCGGCUACUGAACCAUUCAAAAUUUUGAAUUUACUACCCAAUCUUUCAAUGUGUUUGAUUUUAGUCGGUCAACGGCACUUUGGCUUCAAAAUUUGAACUCAUUCCUUUAAUAAAUUUAUAAUUGUGAGAAUUGUAUUAGUCAUACUAAUUAAAUCUAUAAAUAUAAAUAACGCAUUGAAAUUUUAAAAUCGAAGUGUUAUUGGCUGUCUCAAAUCAAACAAAUAAAAAAAUUGGGUAGUAAAAUCAAGAUUUUGAAAGGUUCGGUAGUCGAUUCAAAAUGGUCCAUUUUUCAUGUUAGUUGUAUACGUUUUUACCUAAAAAAUAUGAAGUAAAUGGUGUACCAUAUAAUAAAAGAUUCUGCUUAUCUGAGUAUUGAAUUUGAAUAUCUAAUUUAGACAAAUGAGUAACAUGUUAGCAAGAAAAAGCUACAUAUUCAUUAAUUCAUUCGAGGUAAAUGGUGUACCAUAUAAUAAAAGAUUCUACUUAUCUGAGUAUUGAAUUUGAAUAUCUAAUUUAGACAAAUGAGUAACAUGUUAGCAAGAAAAAGCUACAUAUUCACUAAUUCAUUCGAGGUAAUAUAUAUAUAUAUAUAUAUAUAUAUAUAUAGAGUCCGGCUACUAUACUAUUAUGAGUAUGAUGGCCCUCGUACUCAUAAGUUGUUUUUGAUGAUAGAGCUUCCUAAUCGACGAUCCACACCAUUAAACAUUAUCUAGCUCAUUUAAAACAUCUAGAAAUCAAAUUUUAUAAUUUUUUGAUAUCAUUUACCUUACGAUCAAAAGGUCACAAAAUUAAAAAUUUUUAACGGCCGGUAUGGGAUAUUUGCUAGUUUAACGGUGUAAAAGAAUCGAAAUCGGUUGAAUUUUUAUAGAGAAAUUUUAUUCACUACAUAGAUAAGAUCAAUACUCCGAUCUAAAUGUGAAGGAUCCGAUCAUACCAUUUUUAAUAUGUCGUUCGAUUUUGAUCGUUCAUUUAUACCCGCUUGAUGGACUUAUUAUGAUUUGAAAAAUUACGAAAUUUUUUUCUAAAAGUUUGAAAUAUUCUAGAUCAUAUUUAACGUGAGUGAUCGUCGAUUCGAAAGUUCCAUUAUUGAAAAUAACUUAUGAGUACGAAGGACCCAAUACUCAUAAGAGUAUAGCAGCCCUACUAUAUACAUAUAGUAAUAUAUAUAUAGAGAGAGAGAGAGAGAGAGAGAGAGAGAGAGAGAGAGGAACUACGGCUGAAAUACUAUAAAUAGCACAAGCUAUUGAUACUAUUAGAUUUCCGGUCAUUGGAUAAAAAUAUACGGCUAUGAUAUGUGGAUCCCUAGGGUUGAGUUAGUUAUUAGUUAAAUAGUAAAUAUACAGGUAAAAAAUUAAUUAAGAGUUAAAUCUAACGGCGGAAACUCGUUAGCACAACGCGCUUGGUGCUAUCAAUAGUAUUCCAGCCGGACUUAUAUAUUAAUAUAUAUAUAUAUUAUAUAUAUAUAUAUUAAUAUUAUAUAUUAUAUAUAGAAUUAGGCUGAAUACUAUUAAUAGUAAAACCUCCUUUUGCUAUCAAGUUUUUAACCCUGUGCAUGAAAAUUGUAGGGUCAGGACGAUAUUAGUCGGUUAGAGUUGAGUGGUCCCCUAGGGUUUAGUGGUCCCCAUUGGUUAUAAUAUUUAAUCCAAUGGUUAGAAAUAAUGAAAGAGUUGAUCCAAGGCUAAAAAACUCGGUAGCAACAAUUAGGAAUUUUACUACUAAUAGUAGCCAGUCCAACUCUAUAUAUAUAAUAUAUAUAUACAUGAUGAAGCUGCUAUGCUUCUGGAAGCACGGAGCUUCGUGCUUCCAAGUCGUUUUUCAUGUUGCGACUUUCGAAUCGUCGAUUGGCUCCGUUAAACUGAUCUAGAGUAUUUGAAGUACUAGAAAAUAAAUUAUGCGAUUUUUCGAUAUUAUUUGCCUUAGUGAACGAAAGGGCUCAAAAUCAACGGGCUGAUAAUAAAAAUUUUACAAAAUGUGAUAAUAUGACAUUAAAAUUUUAGAUCAAAGAUAUUGAUUUGUUUUAUAUAGUAUAAAAAUUUCUAUCAAAAUUUCAAGUGAUUUGGAUAUUUCUACACAUUAAACUUGCAACGGCUCACUACGGGCCAUUAAAAUUAGUUGAUUUUGAGCCCCUUCGAUCACUAGGCAAAUGAUAUCGAAAAAUCAAAAAUUUUUUCUAGGUACUUCAAAUACUCUAGAUAAGUUUAACGAAGCGAUUGACGAUUUGAAAAUCGCAACAUGGAAAACGACCUGGAAGCACAGAAGGCUCCAUACUUCCAAAAGCAUACUAGCCUCACACACACACACACACACCACACACACACACAUAUAUAUAUAUAUAUAUUAUAUAUAUAUAUAUAUUAUAUAUAUAUAUAUAUAUAUAUAUUAUAUAUAUAUAAUAUAUAUAUAUAUUAUAUGGCUGGAAUAUUAUGAUAGCAAAAGUUUUUUUUGCUAUCAAGUUUUGUAGGGUUGGAUAAUAUUAGUCCCUUAGAUUGAGUGGCCCACUAAGUUAUAAUAAUUUAAUCAAAUGAUUAAAAAAUGAAAGGAAUUGAUCCAAAGCUAAAAACUUGAUAGCAAAAAGGCUUUUGCUAUCAAUGUAUUCUAGCCCAGAAUACUAUUGAUAGCAAAAGACUCUCUUUGCUAUCAAAUUUUUAGCCUUUGGAUCAUUUAUUUCCUCAUUCUAAUUCAUUGGAUUAAAAUAUUAUAACCUAGUGGACCACUCAACUCUAAAUGACUAAUAUCAUCCUAACCUUAAAUUUUUCAUCAAAAGCUAAAAACUGAUCACAAAAAAGGCUCUUUUGCUAUAAUAAUAUUCCAGCCCAACUCUCCACUCUCUCUCUCUCUCUUUAUAUAUAUUUAUAUAUAUAUAUAGUCGGCUAUGCUGCUUGUAAAGCACCAAUCACUUUGUGCUUGUAGGUUUUAACCGUUAUAGAUCAGUAUCGUUGAUAUUUACAUCCGUGUAAAUUAUACUAUUCAACCAUCCCCACUCAACCUCUAGGGGGCCCAUAUCAUCCUAACACACUAAUUUUUUAAUCUAAGAGCUAAAAACUUACAAGCACCAAUGUCUUGAUACUUUAAAGCAUUAGAAGCCAGUCUAAUUAUUAUAAUAUAAUAUAUAUAUAUAUAAUAUAUAUAUAUAUAUAUAUAUAUAUAUAUACUAUAUCAUACAUAUAUAUAUUCUAAACAAGCAAAAUCAGGAAGGAAAAAAACUAAUAAAUGAAAACAUUGUUGCUCUUAUCGGGAAGCACGACACCGGCACUGCUCUCGGAGGGAGGGAUGAUCAUGUCCGCCAGCAACCGCUCCGAGUCCGUGUCGUGCCGGGCCGGAGUGCAGGUCAGCUGUGUGUGGGCCCUGGCCCGGCUACAGGCUGUAGGCCGCGCUGCUCUGCCUGGCCAGAUGGCCUGCCUUCCAUUUCUUUGCCGACGUUUGCAUUUCAAAAAAGAUAAACUUCAAUUUGCCCUCCAUGAUAAAGUGUGUUUCUGACUUUGUUUUCUCAUUGUUCGAAAAGUUUUUUUUUUUUUUAGAGAAAGGUAGUACGCUACCUGCUUCAUUCAAUAGGAUAAGUGAACUAAGCUUACAAGGUGGAAGCAGCUAAGGCUUCCUUGGCAAAAAGCGAACUCGGAGAACAGAGAAACAAAACAAAAGUGGCGAAAGAAGGAAGGAAGAAGUUAUAAAAAAGAAAGUGGGGAAGAGGAAAUUGGUUACAUGAGUGAGCUCCAGUCACUAAACAGGGUUGAGGCUCUGUCCAAAGCUCUCUCGACGUUGGGGAGGCUAGAACGGAAAGUUGUGCUUAACCAUCACAUGGUACAGUGUAUUUUGACCUUUGUUAGUUAAUUCGCGAAUUAUUCGUGAAUUAUUGAAAAUCCGAAUUAAACGGUCCGUUUACGAAUUUUUUCCAAAAAAAAAAAAUUAUUCGCGAAUUUUUGAACCAACCAAAUAAUUCGCGAAUUAUUCCCGAAUUAUUGAAAAUCUAAAUAAAAACUUAUAAUUUUUAUGUUUAAAUAUAUAUUAUCUUAUUUUUAUAUCUUAUAUUUUAUAUUUUAUAUCGAAUCCCUUUUUUAAGCCGAAUUUUUCAACGAAUUUAAAAAUUAGAAAACGAGUUUUAUGUGAAUUAUAUCCAUACUGAAUUUUUGCCGAAUCCGAAUUAACUAAUUAUGAUUUUGACCGUAUCAUCUCGUGUUCAAAAAAUUAUACUUAAUUAUCCUGUAAUUUUACUUUUUGAUUUACUAUAAGGAUCUACUAUUAAAUAGGAUAGUACCCUAUUUGAUGAUAAAUAUUUUCGUUGAAAUAAAAAUACAAUUAUAGAAUAAUUAAGUGCAACUUUUUGAACUUCGGAAUAGCUAAGUGACAAUGGGCUAUACCGCACUGCCGCACAAGGGGCGAAUUGAAGUUUACACUUUCAAAAAAAAUAGAAGUUUUAAAGUCUAGAAUCUCGCAUAAUAUCUCACUAUAGAUAUUUGGUGGAUUUUAAAAUAAAGAGGCUACAAGCAGCUUUCGAGAAAGCAAAGAGGAACGCCAUAAGGUUGUAUUGAUUGAUCGGUAUUCAAGAAUGCAAAGUAAAGAGAACAGAACGAAAGUAAACUGUGAACAGAAAAUAAAGAGUAUUAAAAAGUGUCCUCAAAAUUGGAGAGAUAUGUAGAUGCGGAUACAGGGCUCUAUUAAUUCCAAGUGAGAUUUCGAUAAAAAUAUGACCUAGUGAUCCAGAUUAAAUAAGAAAAAUAGUAGUCCAAAAGUACAUAAACCAAUUGACGGGAGAACCACACGACCACAAACAAUUUCAAGACACUAAAGAGCCAGGAGUCACGCAGAGAGACCAACAGGACGUUAUGAAGCUUCUACUGGAAGAAUACUAUAAUGAGUGACAUGGAAAAAGAUAGACAUGCAAAGUUUACCUCGAUUCACCAAUCCCGAAGAAUUGGUUCACGACAGAAAAAGGACAGCGAUAGAGGAUAGAGGAUAGCGAUAAGAAGCAAAAAAGAGAGGAGGAGGAGGACGUCCCUUCCCCGACUAGUCGUGGUUGUCUGUAAAAAAAAAAAAAAAAAAAAAAAAAAANNNNCUCGUGUUCGGCUAGUUUAAUAAACGAGCCGAACACGAGCCGACCCCAACUCGUUGGUGUUCGGCUCGUUUACACCCCUAGCUAUACCGCACAAGGGGGCGAAUUGAAGUUUACACUUUCAAAAAAAAUAGAAGUUUUAAAGUCUAGAAUCUCGCAUAAUAUCUCACUAUAGAUAUUUGGUGGAUUUUAAAAUAAAGAGGCUACAAGCAGCUUUCGAGAAAGCAAAGAGGAACACCAUAAGGUCGUAUUGAUUGAUCGGUAUUCAAGAGUGCAAAGUAAAGAGAACAGAACGAAAGUAAACUGUGAACAGAAAAUAAAGAGUAUUAAAAAGUGUCCUCAAAAUUGGAGAGAUAUGUAGAUGCGGAUGCAAGGGCUCUAUUAAUCCCAAGUGAGAUUUCGAUAGAAAUAUGACCUAGUGAUCCAGAUUAAAUAAGAAAAAUAGUAGUCCAAAAGUACAGAAACCAAUUGACGGGAGAACCACACGACCACAAACAAUUUCAAGACACUAAAGAGCCAUGAGUCACGCAGAGAGACCAACAGGACGUUAUGAAGCUUCUACUGGAAGAAUACUAUAACGAGUGGCAUGGAAAAAGAUAGACAUGCAGAGUUUACCUCGAUUCACCAGUCCCGAAGAAUUGGUUCACGACAGAAAAAGGACAGCGACAGAGGAUAGAGGAUAGCGAUAAGAAGCAAAAAAGAGAGGAGGAGGAGGACGUCUCUUCCCCGACUAGUCGUGGUUGUCUCUUAAAAAAAAAAAAAAAAAAAAAGGCAGGAGAGGGAAGAGAAGAGGAGGUGGAAGGUUCAAAAGGGAGAAAAAGGAAAGGUGGUUGGAGAGGGAAAAAUUGUUCUACUUAAGAAAAGGAGUUGAUUGCAUAAACCAUCCCUAACGUUUAUAUAUCUUCUUUAUUUAGUUCCUACUCUUUUAUUUUUUUACACUUGGACCCUUAAUUUUAAGAAUUAAUUAUACUAUUAGCCUCUAAUACUUUUCAUAAUUUUCACUUAGUCCCUAACUUUUUCUCCCAUAAGCAUACGCAUUGUAUCAAAUUUAAUCUCAUCAUCCCCGAUAUCUUUCCAUUUGCCUACAAUCAUCUUGACCUUACAUAUUAUACCUACUAUUUUUUUUUUAAGCAUCCGGUAUUCUUAACGUCAAGCCGGAGUACUGUCAAACUCUUUGAGAAAUAAAAAAUAAUUAGUGCUGAAAUUAACCGGAGGUUUCAGGACCAUAAUUGUUAUUUAUAUGAGUAGGCAAGGUUUUAUCGAAGUUGACUAGGCCUAUAAAAAGUUAGGGAUCUAAUAGCAAAGCAAAAAAUUAAGCCCUAAUAUCCCCGUCAACCUAACCAGGCAAUGUAAGGUCCACUUCACACUUCGUGCUGAUGAAACGGCUCUGAUAUCAAAUGUAAUGGCUUGGUACACUAACAAUAAUAACUCGUUGGAUUCAAAUCACUAGCCCAAAAUACUUAUACCCGAUUAUUAUCAUUAGGAUCCAUUGUCUCUUAUUAUUUUCACUCACAAUCCUGUUCUCAUUCAAUGUGGGAUUAUUGAGGUGUCACACAAACACUUUACAAA